GUACGGGAGGCAGCAGUCGGGAAUUUUGGACAAUGGGGGAAACCCUGAUCCAGCGACGCCGCGUGCAGGAUGAAGUCCUUCGGGAUGUAAACUGCUGUCGGGUGGGACGAAUGACCUCCGGGUGAAUAAUCCGGAGGAGUGACGGUACCACCGAAGGAAGCACCGGCUAACUCUGUGCCAGCAGCCGCGGUAAGACAGAGGGUGCAAGCGUUGUUCGGAAUUACUGGGCGUAAAGGGCGUGUAGGUGGUCAGGUAAGUCUGAUGUGAAAUCAUCAUCGCUUAACGAGAUGUCCGCAUCGGAUACUGUCUGACUUGAGUAUAGGAGAGGAUAACGGAAUUCCUGGUGUAGCGGUGGAAUGUGUAGAUAUCAGGAGGAACACCUGUGGCGAAGGCGGUUAUCUGGCCUAAUACUGACACUGAGGCGCGAAAGCUAGGGGAGCAAACGGGAUUAGAUACCCCGGU
rnacentral:rRNA from 1 species